rnacentral:rRNA from 1 species
UACGAGGGGAGCAAGCGUUGUUCGGAUUUACUGGGCGUAAAGGGCGCGUAGGCGGUCGUGACAAGUCACUUGUGAAAUCUCCGGGCUUAACUCGGAACGGUCAAGUGAUACUGUCGGACUAGAGUACAGAAGGGGCAACUGGAAUUCUCGGUGUAGCGGUGAAAUGCGUAGAUAUCGAGAGGAACACCUGAGGUGAAGACGGGUUGCUGGGCUGACACUGACGCUGAGGCGCGAAAGCCAGGGGAGCAAACGGG